AUUUAUUGGAUUCCUCGGGGGCGCAGGGGGCAGGCUCGUCACUGCGGAGGAUCCUGGCUGGGCCGGCCUGGGAGAGGCAGAGUCUGGGCAGCAGCUGACACAAGACCAGUAGUGAGAGGUGCCCGGCCCUCGGCCACGAGGAGGGAGACGGUGGGGGUGGAGCAGGCCUGACCCAGAGGGAGGUGCAGGCCGAGGAGAAGGCCUGCGGGUCCCAGGGGAGGGAGGAGGCAGAGGGAACAGUAUGCACGGAGGCUCAGAGGCUGGAAGGCAGCUGGGAUUCCCCCAGGGCCCCAGGAGGCCCGGGGAGGGGGCUGGGGAGACGGAGCGCUGAGGCCUCCGGACAAGCUCACGGCCAGGACACACCUGUCACUCUUCAACACGCUUGGCCAGGUGUGUGGGCUGCCCCUGCUCCCCCCCUGAAGCCCCAGGGGGGCCCUCCUGCAGGGGGGGCCCUGAACACCCCACGGGGAGUCUCAGCAUCCAUCUAUCUGGCAGCUGGGAGCUUCGUUACCUGCACAAGGCGUGGUGGGAGCCAGAUGUCCGAUGUCCCGGAAUCCAGAGACGCGGGGUGGAGCCGGCUGGCCCGAGGAACAGAAGCAGAUCCGCCAGAACGGCCAACAGUCCGGAGGACAAGCGCUGCUCACCUUAGCCUCCCUGGGGCCCAAGGGCCUAUGGGUUGGUGGUCUCCCUGGGCUGCCCGCAGAGGCUCUAAAGACCCCUACCCACGGUGCUGAUGGGCAGUGCCGGGGGCGCGGAGAACAGCGGGGUCCGGGAUGAAGCGGCCUUUCCUCUGGGUGGGAAGUUCCCGGGCUCUGCAGCACCCAACGCCGCCGCCCCAGGCCGCAGGGGCAUCGCUUCCCCGCGUCCCAGCGCCUCCGUGGUGAGUCGAGCCGCAGCGCUCUGGGUCGGUGAAGGUGGCUCAGCGCGGGCGCUCCAGUCCCGACGUUCC
rnacentral:antisense_RNA from 1 species